CUCCGAUGUUACGCCUCAAGGAUAACUUGUGAAAGCCAUUUCCAAAAUGCCCAGGUCUGGGCAUCAUUGCGAACGCUGCUCCUAAUCAUGGGAUGAACUAUUACAUUUUCUCAACACAUGGAACCUCAUAAUGCCACCUUGUUAUGGCCCCUUUCGCUCUCUAUCAUUUUGAGAGAAUCUAUACUAUGCAAUAAUAAAG